rnacentral:lncRNA from 1 species
UCACCCCUUGAUUUUGUAUUUCUUUUAUGCUGGCCACUGCAUGCAAAAGAUCAGUGAAUAUUUCCAUUGUCCUUCAUUAAUCUCCACUUAAGAGUCCAGGGAUCAAGAGGAGAUGUUCCAUGUGGUUCUCUGUGGACGCUGCUGGAUGCCAUGUGACUAAGACUUUUCAAGGUCUUAAGACUGGGAAUGAGAAGGCACUUAAAUCUUUUGGGAAGUUUCCCCGCCUCAUUGAAACUAGCAACUGAAUCUUAAGGAAGAUUUCUCCAUUUCCUAGUUUGCCUCACUGAUGACCCUAUCACUUUCUGUUGGCUGUAAAAGACUGGCAUAACAACUUCAUAGGUAAGAAUCUAGUUCCCCCUGUUAAUUUAAAUUUGUCUUUCCGGGCUGGGGGUUUAGCUCAGCGGCAUAAGCACCUGCCUUGCAAGCAGGCGGUCGUGAGUUCCAUCCCCGGUACCGAUA